CCCUAAUACAGGGACCACUCCAUGUGACUGUAGGUUGUGCAGUAAGCCAUCCACUAAGCAGGAGAAUACACAGACAAUUCCAGAGGGUGCUCAGAGAUCCACCACAGACAACACACACAAGCUAAGCUAAGGCACUGAGCUGUUUCUCCAUCCACCCACCCCACAGUGGUGCCAACUCUUGCAGUUUCCCAGGAUACCCAACCUGAACCAGAACCAGAGCUGAACAAGCUGAGAAAGGCCGGGGGUUUCAGCAGUCUUGGGACUAGAAAGCAUCAUGGACCUGAGAAAGAAGACAACCCAAGAGGAAGCAUGAUCAGAGCAUUACCUCGACGCGGGCCAGGAAGUCCUUCAGGUUUGGGAAGGCGUCCAGGCACUUGGGCUCAAACAUACGAUACUGGUCAAGAAUGUCAUAAGCAAGGAAAUCCACAUAGGUGACCUGCAGGAAGCCCAGGGUGAGUGCACUGGAAUUUGACACCUGGGAAGAAUGGCAACUCCUCCUCCCCACCCUUCUCCUUUACCUUGUCCCCUGCAAACCAUGGCCGUUUGCCCAGGAACUCAGAGUAGAGCUUCAUUUUCUCAGGGAUAGCCUUCAAAAACUCUGGCUUCUGCUUCUCCUGAGGCAGAGAACAGCUGUCACCACCUUUAGUCAUAGGCUCCCUGGCAGAGAGGGCUUUGCAAAGGAAGAGCCACCUUCCCAAGAAUGGGCCAGGUCCAUGUCCAGGAUUCCAUUGAACACAUCACUAUUUUACUGGUGACAGAACUCAUGUCAGAGGUGACGGACAGCCUGCAGAAAUUCCACACUGUCCCUGAACUCUGUCACCACUGAAGUCCAAACCAGAUGCUGUGAGUCACACCUAGUACCUCCUGACUAUCUUGCAUGUUUUGGCCCCAGAGAUCCAACGGAACCACAGAAACAAAGGGCACAAAAGACACCGGGAGAAGACAGUUACACUGGAUGGAUGGGGAAGCAUGAGAACAGAUCAGAUAAUUGAAGGGUGUGCUUCGGUUUUGAUCAGUGACUAAUACUGAAAGGAAAAGGCAUCAAAGUUCCUCUGUCUGAACCUGAGCUGCCUACUAGGAAGAUGUCCUGGUUUUCUACUGUUACCUAAGACAAUUCUUUCCCUACGGGGAAAGAACUGGAUAGAUGUGUGAGGCCAGUGUAGACAUAACUUAUUUUCAUCAUCAAGGAGUAUACUGGUACUUGUUGGUGCGGGGGAGUGGGGAAGGGGUGCAAUGUUGAUGCCAAGUAUCUUUCUCAAUCACUGCCCACCUUAUUUUUGAGAUAGGGUCUCUCACUAAAUCUAGAGCUCAAAGGCUGACUGGCCUUAUUGCUCAGCAAAACCCAAGAAACCCUUCUGUUAUAAGAGCAGGCUGCAACACUAGGGUGUUUUUAUAGGAUGCUAAGGAUUCAUACUGAAGCUUUAAUGCUAUGUAGCAGGCUCUUUCAACCAAUAAAGCAACUCCACAUCCUCUAAUUUCAUCCUGGAAGCUUUUGGUAUAAAGACUGGGUAAGGCGGCCCAUUGGAAGAGGUCAAUCUAGCAGAGAUCUACAACUGUACUGAGUAACUGAGUCCACCGGCAGAAUCUCAAGACUAAGACUAGCAGGGAUAGGUUCACAGUGUUGAUGUGAUAGGUCGUCAGGGUGAUAAGGGUAAGAUCAGAAAGCGUGGAGAAUUAGUAACAGGGCUCAUGACCGAAGGAGGAUACUACAGAUCAGAAAGCAAGACUUUCACUCCUGCUUCUAACCCUGUCUGCCCCACCUCCGGCCACUCACAAAGUCAGGGUUGUAACAGAGCAUGAUGAGCUGCAUGCGGGUGUCCAUGACCUGGUUCUCCACAAUGUCUGCACGGAUCCUCUCCUCCUCUGUCUCUCCGCCUGCAGCACACACAGCACGCCUCAGCAUCCCAACCCAGCCAAGCCGAGGAGCGUCUCCACCACUCUCCCCCCCUGCGGCCAGCCCCACUCACACAGGUGGUUUUUCCGAGCAAUGUAGCGCAGGAUGGCAUUGCUCUGGGUGAUCUUGUGUGAGCCAUCAAUUAAGUAGGGCAGCUGGAUAGACAAGCAGGGACAGUCAGAUGGGUUAUGGGGUACCUGAAACCUUUCCCUGGGUGAGGACAGACAUGGGGCCCGGCACUCAGUGUGCCUCUGUGUUCAUGCUGCCCACUGAAUGGGAGAGCUGGGACACAGCCCAUCACAGAAACACUGUGCAGCCAGCAGAGAUGGCGCAGGUGAGCAGAAACAUCGAUCUCAAGUUCCCUCAGCCAGGCCAGGAGAUGAGGUGAGGACACCAGGCCUUCUCCAAACCUCCCCUUCCCUGCACCUACAUUGGGAAAGUCCAGGCCCAGCUUGAAUUUCUCGUUCAGCCACUGGCUUCUGUCAUAGUCUGGAGCUGUGGUGGACAAGAGGAUGUGAAAAGGAAUCACGCCAUGUCCCACCCUAUUACAGAUAUUCGACCAGUAGCAAGAAGCCCUAAGUCAGGGAAUCAGCAAUCUGUUACAGCGAGUCACUUUCCAAGAUGGAGAAGGGUCUGAAUAACAACUGGUAAUAAAGGGAACCUGGACCCAAUAAGACCCCAAUAAUGAAUCCUGUCUAAUUAUAAAUACAAAUGGACCAGGAACUCCAUGCUCAGUGUUCUAUAUUGCAAAACCAAACUGCACCCUCAAAGAGGUUCCCAGAAGCAGCAGCCUCUCGCUUCAGCUAGAGACUAGCAAGGCUAAAUAACAGGAAGUAUAGGCAUAGUUUGAUAGGCAAGAGGGAAACAGGUGUCUAACCAGAAAGGUGUCAUUACCAUCGCCCAUGGUGUAUCUCUUUUCCUCAUAGCUUGAGUCUGUGUAUUCCAGGAGCAGACGAAUCGGAUGUGUCAGCUGGAAGAGAGGAUACGAGACAGGGGUCAGAAAUUGUGGGGACUUCAUCUUUACCCGUUGAGACCUCCCACACUCUACAAACACAGCCACCCCGCACGGGCAUGUGCACACCACAUACAUGUGCACGCCACACACAUACGCGCACUCACACAACCACCCAAGUAUGUAAGCUCCUUAGCGCAGAGAGCAGCAGGCAGAAGAUUCUAGCGAGGCCACAGGAGUAUUCACUGUUAGAAGGGCCCUUGCUGUUAAGAACUUUCUGCUUUACAUCCCAGUCCCACCCUCCAAGUGGACCCCUCUCUCACUCCGCGGACGUUCCAGUAUCCCAGUAUCAUAGGCAUGGUGCUGGUGCUGUGGUCUUCUCAAACUGGCUUCAGCAGGAUUGACCUGCGUGUUUCGAGUUAUGAUUUUAUAUAGACUAUCAGAGAAACGUGGGCUAGACAAAACGGCGGGUCCCUCCCAAGUCUGCACCAAUCCCAAUUAGACACUCCCCUUCCCGGGUCUGUAACCAGAGCUGCAGACCCUAAAGCGGAAGGCAGAGGGCCACACCCUCUCCGGGAGAGGCGGGGUUAAGACUCUUAAGCAGCCUCUGCCCCGAGAUUCUGUUUUGCACACCCUGAAAGCAAAAUCUGCUCGCCUGCUCCCCAAACAUUCUUUGCUACUGCCGCCAUCGCCGCCUGCUGGAUGCUCCCGAGACUAGCUAGCACUUUCCCUGGAGUCAGGCCAGGCAGCGAAAGAACAUGGGUGGGUGUUCUCCCACCUUCCUUUCUUUUGCAGAGCUCGGUUUUCACACCCAGACUGUGGGAAUCUGUCACUGGGGAGGCUCAACUCUCAGCUUAAAGACAAAAAGUCAGUUCCUAGCAAGGAGACCCCAUGGAUAAGAAGGCCCUUCGUGUUGACUGUGAACUGACUGGCCAACGGGUGAUAUUCAACAUGGUCCAUGCAAAAACACAAGAUUCUACAAAUAAUGGCUUCUGAAUGUUUAAAACUCUACAGGAUAAUUUCAGGAUGAGGACAUCUCUACCUGUCCCACUGUACCUGACACCAGAGGAUCAUGGUGUGAAGAUAAGAAUCUGUCCCAUUCCACGUGCUACAGCGGAAUGUACGUGAUAGUCAGAUGUCUGUUACUUAGACAGAAUAGGAGAGGAAGUCAGUCCAAAUGAGGAAAUAUUUAUUCUGCCUCACGGUUUCAGAACUUUCAGUCCAUGAUCUCUUGGCUCCAUGAUGGGGAAGAACACUUACUGCAAGGAGACAGUGCUGGAGAAAAGCUGCUCACCACACGGUGUGAGGAAGCCACGAGACGAAAGGGAAAGGCUAUAAUAUACCCCUCAGCCAUGCCCAUUCCUAACUCCUACUUCCUCCUACUAGGGCCAACCCUUGGAUUUCCACUACCUCUCAAUAGCCUUUUAUUAAUCCACAACUACACCACAGCAUUGGUGGUGGGUCAUGGCCUCAUGAUCUAGUCACCUCUUAAAGGUCCACCUUUCAAUACUGUUACA